UACGUAGGGCGCAAGCGUUGUCCGGAAUUAUUGGGCGUAAAGAGCUCGUAGGCGGCCUGUUGCGUCCGCUGUGAAAUCCCGGGGCCCAACCCCGGGCCUGCAGUGGAUACGGGCUGGCUGGAGGCAGGCAGGGGAGAUCGGAAUUCCUGGUGUAGCGGUGAAAUGCGCAGAUAUCAGGAGGAACACCGGUGGCGAAGGCGGAUCUCUGGGCCAUUACUGACGCUGAGGAGCGAAAGCGUGGGGAGCGAACAGG
rnacentral:rRNA from 1 species